GCCUUUUAAUGGAGGCUGGUAUGAAUGGCAAGACGGAGGUUUAGCUGUCUCUCUUUUAGAAUCUUGAAUUUGCCAUCUUCGUGAAGAGGCGAAGAUAAAGUCGUAGGACGAGAAGACCCUAUCGAGCUUAAGCUUUAUAAUAGAGUUGAAAAAUUUUUGUUUUUAGGCUAAUUGAAAAACGACUUAAUUUUACCUAGGAAUAAAGAUUAACUACUAUUAGAAUGUUUUGGUUGGGGCAACCGCGGAGAAAAUACACCCUCCGUUACAAAAUUAGAAAAACUUACUACUUUGGGAAAUUUUAAAGUUUAAAAAUGAUCCACUAAAAAGUGAUCAAAGGAAUAAGUUACCGUAGGGAUAACAGCGUAAUUUUUUUGGAGAGUUCAUAUUGAUAAAAAAGUUUGCGACCUCGAUGUUGGAUCGGGACUUCCAGGAGAUGCAGAAGUUUCCAAGGGUUGGUCUGUUCGACCAUUAAAGUCCUACGUGAUCUGAGUUCAGACCGGA
rnacentral:rRNA from 1 species